rnacentral:rRNA from 1 species
CCUACGGGGGCAGCAGUGGGGAAUAUUGCACAAUGGGGGAAACCCUGAUGCAGCGACGCCGCGUGAGUGAAGAAGUAUUUCGGUAUGUAAAGCUCUAUCAGCAGGGAAGAAAAUGACGGUACCUGAGUAAGAAGCCCCGGCUAACUACGUGCCAGCAGCCGCGGUAAUACGUAGGGGGCAAGCGUUAUCCGGGUUUACUGGGUGUAAAGGGAGCGUAGACGGCAGCACAAGUGUGGAGUGAAAUGCCGGGGCUUAACCCCGGAACUGCUUUGGAAACUGUGCAGCUAGAGUGCAGGAGAGGUAAGUGGAAUUCCUAGUGUAGCGGUGAAAUGCGUAGAUAUUAGGAGGAACACCAGUGGCGAAGGCGGCUUACUGGACUGUAACUGACGUUGAGGCUCGAAAGCGUGGGGAGCAAACAGGAUUAGAUACCCUAGUAGUC